UUUGCUUCUCUACGCCAGCGCUUUUAUCAGCGUCAUCACGCAACGAGCUGACGCAGAUCCUCUCCGCGCGAAAUUUUGAGAGUUCCGUUGAGAACAAAACAAGAGCGCGAAGCAGCAGCUGCAGCAGCACCGCGCGCCGGUUCCGCUUCACAGCCGUAAAACUACCAACUGCAUCACGAUGGCGGAGCUCGGCUGCUACUCUCCCAGCUUCAAGAAACCGUCCGAGGUGCUGCGCAUGCGGAGGCAGCGGGCGCGGAGUGAAGGACCAGGCGGGAAAGUGUCGAGUCCAGCGCUAUCCGGGCUCCGGCCGUUUUCCCCGGGGCCGCUGCUCACCGCUCCGGGACGCGGUAACGGCGGAGUCAAGCGGAGAAACCCGUUCGCUAGCAUCGAGAACACCUACAGCAGCCCGAAGAAGAGGGCUUUAAUACAGGAGGAUGGUAGAAAGAGCUCAGCCGCGGGUCCAGACGAGAAACUCCGAGAAGAACCGAAAACCGGAGCUUUACUGCGGGAGGAGCUGCUGCACACUGACCGACUCAAACAACAGCACACACAGGCAGCGGUGUCUCUCUCUGAAGCUGACGGUGUGUUUGAGGAUGAUCUGUUUGAUCCGCAGAGCUCCGCUGCGGUGCUGAAGAGUCCAGAGGCACUCCGUGACUCUUCUCCGUCUGAGGUGUGUGUGGAGUAUCCGGCUGACUGGUCUCUGAAAACGCGUCUGCUGUUCACGUCUCCUCAGUCGUUCUCCUGGGCUGAGCAUCUGAAGGCGCAGGAGGAGGCGCAGGGCUUGAGUUCUCACUGCAGAGCCCAGUUCAGCAACAUUCCUGCUCACAUACCGGUAUAUAUAUACACACACACACACACACACACACACAAAAUAUAUACACACACACACACAAUAUAUAUAUAUAUAUACACACACACACACACACACACAAAAUA
rnacentral:lncRNA from 1 species